GACGAACCGUCCAAACGUUAUUCGGAAUUACUGGGCUUAAAGGGUGCGUAGGCGGCUCUGCAAGUUGGGUGUGAAAUCCCUCGGCUCAACCGAGGAAUGGCGCCCAAAACUGUGGAGCUCGAGGGAGACAGAGGUGAGUGGAACUUGUGGUGGAGCGGUGAAAUGCGUUGAUAUCACAAGGAACACCGGUGGCGAAAGCGGCUCACUGGGUCUCUUCUGACGAUGAGGCACGAAAGCUGGGGGAGCGAACGGGAUUAGAUACCCCUGUAGUCCCUGA
rnacentral:rRNA from 1 species